rnacentral:rRNA from 1 species
UACAGGGGGGUGCAAACGUUGCUCGGAAUCAUUGGGCGUAAAGCGCACGUAGGCGGUUCGUUAUGUCGGAUGUGAAAGCCCUUGGCUUAACCGAGGAAGUGCAUCCGAAACUGGCGAGCUAGAGUACGAAAGAGGAUCGCGGAAUUCCCGGUGUAGAGGUGAAAUUCGUAGAUAUCGGGAGGAACACCGGUGGCGAAGGCGGCGAUCUGGGUCGAUACUGACGCUGAGGUGCGAAAGCGUGGGGAGCAAACGGG